UUGGGAAAGAGCUAGAGGUCACUUUAUCCAAAGAGCUUUUCUGCCGCCUGAUUCGUAACACAAUGACCAAUAUGAUCGCCAUAGCCAGAGCAUCUGAGGAGUUCCGCUAUCCAUCAAAACACGAAGUCAUCUCCAUGGCUAAGCGCUUAGUUGAGUACUACCGAUGAUUAAGGACAAGUCAUCUGACAAUGUGUGGGAGAAUGUGUCAAGGAAGCUCAUGAAGAGGCUCUCUAACGUGAAAAGUCCUGUGAAAUCCAAGGGUCCACCUGUUAAAGUACAACGUCGAAAUGAAGAUGCUGAUGACAGUAGUGAUUGGGACUCCAGUGCAUCAACUGUCAUCUUGGAAAGAUCACCAGCCAGUACAAGCACCCCAAAACGACUGAGGGACAACAAUGAUGAACCAUCCACAGGUUCAGGAGACUUAUUGGACAGUGAAAAAAGCCAGGCAAGACACUAUCGUACCCUCCAGGAUAUGUACAAGUCUAAGAAGCCGAACAAAGCUGCGGUUUCUCAUCUUCUUGAUUUGGAAUUCCAGUCCCGUAG
ensembl:lncRNA